ensembl:snRNA U6 U6 spliceosomal RNA
UUUCACCUUGAAGAAAUGCUCAGGAACGAGACAGAGAAGAUUAGCAUGGCCCCUGUGCAGGAAGACACGCAAAUUCGAGAAGUGUUCCAUAUUUUU